UACGGAGGGGGCGAGCGUUGUUCGGAGUGACUGGGCGUAAAGAGCACGUAGGCGGUGUUGUAAGUCAUUAGUCAAAGACUAGAGCUCAACUCCAUCCAGCCGUUGAAACUGAUGAUCUUGAGUGGGCGAGAAGUAUGCGGAAUGCGUGGUGUAGCGGUGAAAUGCAUAGAUAUCACGCAGAACUCCGAUUGCGAAGGCAGCAUACCGGCGCCCGACUGACGCUGAAGCACGAAAGCGUGGGUAUCGAACAGG
rnacentral:rRNA from 1 species